rnacentral:sRNA from 1 species
AGCGUUGCUUCGCCUGGUCCUGGCUGGGGGUAGGGGCUAGGGCCGGGUCCCGGCAUGAGCCGAAACCUGGGGUUCGAGUGGGGCGGGGAAUGGGGCACAGUGAGGCUGGGAGCCGGCCCUGAGCUUGUCUUGCGUAGGGGUAGCCAGGCUCGGGGCGCCUGAGCUGGAGGCGGAAGUGUGAAAUAAGGACUGAGUGGGCAAAGAGAACCUGGGCUGAGACAUGGCCGCUUACCAACAAGAAGGGCAGAUGCAGCUUCCCCGAGCUGAUGCCAUUCGUUCACGUCUCAUCGAUACUUUCUCUCUCAUUGAGCAUUUGCAAGGCUUGAGCCAAGCUGUGCCGCGGCACACUAUCAGGGAGUUACUUGAUCCUUCCCGCCAGAAGAAACUUGUACUGGGAGAUCAACACCAGCUAGUGCGUUUCUCUAUAAAGCCUCAACGUAUAGGACAGAUUUCACAUGCCCAGAGGCUGUUGAGCAGGUUUCAUGUGCGCUGCAGUCAGAGGCCACCUCUUUCUUUGUGGGCCGGAUGGGUCCUUGAGUGUCCUCUCUUCAAAAACUUCAUCAUCUUCCUGGUCUUUUUGAAUACGAUCGUAUUGAUGGUUGAAAUAGAAUUGCUGGAAUCCACAAAUACCAAACUAUGGCCAUUGAAGCUGACCUUGGAGGUGGCAGCUUGGUUUAUCUUGCUUAUUUUCAUCCUGGAGAUCCUUCUUAAGUGGCUAUCCAACUUUUCUGUUUUCUGGAAGAGUGCCUGGAAUGUCUUUGACUUUGUUGUUACCAUGUUGGUAAGGAUAGAGAUCCUGAGGGUUCGUUUAGUGGGAUGAAGAAUGUGCCUAGGUGAAUCGAAAGAACAAGAAAAGUUAACAUGAUAAUAGGAAGAAACAAAAAUUUACUUAACUUCUUUCUUUUGAUAUUUUUUUCCUAAAACUAAACAUCAAUCAUUGCAGGAGUUGUUGGUAUUAGGAGCAAAGUAGACUAACUACAACAUCAAUGCCAACAAGAGCAUCUGCCUGUUACUGAGCACUUAUUAAGUGCCAAGCACUAUUUUAAGUGUUUUCCUUACAUUAUCUCAUUUAUGCUCCACAACAACCCAAUUAAAUAACCAUGAAUUUUAUCCCCCUUUUUAUAUCUGAACAAGUUGAAGUAUAGUGUUUAAGCAGCUUAAUAUAGAAAGGCUGAAUAGUAAGCACUUCUCAGAGAAUGCUAUUCAAGGGAUAACGCCCAGGGAACAAUGAAGAGGAUAAGAUGAAGAAGGUGCAAUUCUACCUGGGUGCCUUGGGGUGUAUUUUACUUAUAAUCUGUGUGUUUUCCACAGUCCCUGCUUCCCGAGGUUGUGGUAUUGGUAGGGGUAACAGGCCAAUCGGUGUGGCUUCAGCUUCUGAGGAUCUGCCGGGUGCUGAGGUCUCUCAAACUCCUUGCACAAUUCCGUCAAAUUCGAAUUAUUAUUUUGGUCCUGGUCAGGGCCCUCAAGGUGAUUUGACUGUUGCAAGCUAAAGCAGGGGGCAAGGUAGAUAAAUGUGAGGGCUUAACAUAGAAUAUGAAACAAAUUGGCCGGGUGCGGUGGCUCACGCCUGUAAUCCCAGCACUUUGGGAGGCUGAAGGGGAUGGGUCAUGAGGUCAGGAGUUCGAGACCAGCCUGACCAACAUGGUGAAACCCUGUCUCUACUAAAAAUACCAAAAAAAAA